ensembl:lncRNA
UGAUGAGAGAGAUUCUGAGAAGUACACAUAUCACAGAUGUAUCUUACUCUGAAGCCAAGUAUUAAAAAUGUGUUCUAUUCAUAAUGAUAAGUUUCAUUUCAAAAGUAAAAAAUUAAUAUUUCAUGGUAGUGAUCUGUCUCAUAUAUAUUAACAGGUUUCAUUUUUAUAUUCAAAAAUGUUUUUGGUAAACUUUGUGGUAUAUUUCAUAUGUAAUUUCACAGUAUUUCUAACUGCGUAGUUAGCUGAGUCUGCCUUACAUAGGGAGUUAAACUGCACGUAUUGUUCUUUGUGCCAAUAUUUCUGAGAACUAUUAGCAUGAUAUUUUGAAUCUAAAAAGAGGAAGAGGUCCGAAGUCGAGACACUCUGUCUAGAUUAUUUUUAAAGGUCAUGUGUUAUUAAUUAUAGUCCAGAUGAAGACUUGUGUCUGGAACAGUAGUAUAUAAGAUAGAGGUAUGCACUCUGCACAUUAGAAUAGGAUUGACUUUCUGAGACUCUCUGGUCUCUCUUUUCUUCAGCUCUCACUUCCAUUUUUUUUCCUUUGGCUUCACUCGAAAACUCUUCUACUCAGACUUAGAAUCCUUACAGACCUUUGCCUACAUUGACGCUGAUGCAUUAAAGAGGAGGGGCUCCCCUGUUCCAAGAUGGCGGCUCUAUUGACACAUUCGUUCCAAUGAUCAGGCGGCUGACUGUGAGCUGCUGCUCCUUGUAACUGCUCGGUCGGUCCUGAAUUAUUUUAUUGUUGCCUGUUUAUUUAUUUAUUUUUUAUUUUUUUAUUUUUUUGAGCAAAUUUGAGUGGUGACAUGUCAAUGGAGAACAAAAACUGUAAUGUGAACACAAGAAGGGUCAGAUGUGUUCUGCGAGGUCUUGGUAAAAUAAGGUAAGAAAAUCGAUAUCUUUAUUAUCUUUUGAAAAUAGUAAAGUAUAUCGUUACCAGAGUUUACAAAUGGGUAAAGGACAUGUAACCUGCAGAAGAUAAAUACCUGUGUGUGUAUUUUUGUAUUGCUUUAUCACAGGUGCUCGGAGUUAGAUGCUCAUCUGAUGUUGUUGUGUUGCUGGUAAGUUAUGUGCUAAUGUCUG